rnacentral:tRNA from 1 species
GGCGCUAUGGUGUAGUGGUAGCACAUGGGAUUCUGAUUCCCACAACCCAGGUUCGAACCCUGGUAGUGCCU